CGGUAUAAAAGUUUAACGCAUUGUGUUCAUCUGCAUUCAGAUGAUUACGCCUUAAUUCGAUGUAAAUGAGCGCGUCCCACGCUAAUGAAUAAAAUUAAAGCGCGAAAACGUCAGAUUGAAAGCGAAAUUCCUUCUCACGUACCAGUAGGUACCCAUUCAGAUGACAUUGACGAACAAAAUAAUAACAGUAGCAUCGGUGUUCACCUAUAAUCAUUGUCCUCGACAGUGAGUAACGAUCUUGAACGAACGUUGGUACCUAAUCAGUUUAACGUUUCAUAUUGUUCCAUUUGUUAUUGGAGAAGGAUCUGUUACUUACUUAAGUGAAAGUGAGUACGAACCAGAGGAUUACUCAUCAUCAGAGCCAUCAGAUUCAGAAACGCUCAAUGAAGACUAUCCUUUCAAUGCUAUUAGUUUACUGCCAAACCGAAGAGGUGCUCCUAAAAUGUUCAAGGCCAUCGAGCUUUCGUCUCUGUAUCAGGGCCCACUUGAAAUUAAUGAUAAAAAGAAGAAAAAUAUGGAAGAACUUUUU